rnacentral:rRNA from 1 species
GGGGACGGAGAAGGCUAUGUUGGCCGGGCGACGGUUGUCCCGGUUUAAGCGUGUAGGCUGGUUUUCCAGGCAAAUCCGGAAAAUCAAGGCUGAGGCGUGAUGACGAGGCACUACGGUGCUGAAGCAACAAAUGCCCUGCUUCCAGGAAAAGCCUCUAAGCAUCAGGUAACAUCAAAUCGUACCCCAAACCGACACAGGUGGUCAGGUAGAGAAUACCAAGGCGCUUGAGAGAACUCGGGUGAAGGAACUAGGCAAAAUGGUGCCGUAACUUCGGGAGAAGGCACGCUGAUAUGUAGGUGAAGUCCCUCGCGGAUGGAGCUGAAAUCAGUCGAAGAUACCAGCUGGCUGCAACUGUUUAUUAAAAACACAGCACUGUGCAAACACGAAAGUGGACGUAUACGGUGUGACGCCUGCCCGGUGCCGGAAGGUUAAUUGAUGGGGUCAGCGCAAGCGAAGCUCUUGAUCGAAGCCCCGGUAAACGGCGGCCGUAACUAUAACGGUCCUAAGGUAGCGAAAUUCCUUGUCGGGUAAGUUCCGACCUGCACGAAUGGCGUAAUGAUGGCCAGGCUGUCUCCACCCGAGACUCAGUGAAAUUGAACUCGCUGUGAAGAUGCAGUGUACCCGCGGCAAGACGGAAAGACCCCGUGAACCUUUACUAUAGCUUGACACUGAACAUUGAGCCUUGAUGUGUAGGAUAGGUGGGAGGCUUUGAAGUGUGGACGCCAGUCUGCAUGGAGCCGACCUUGAAAUACCACCCUUUAAUGUUUGAUGUUCUAACGUGGACCCGUGAUCCGGGUUGCGGACAGUGUCUGGUGGGUAGUUUGACUGGGGCGGUCUCCUCCUAAAGAGUAACGGAGGAGCACGAAGGUUGGCUAAUCCUGGUCGGACAUCAGGAGGUUAGUGCAAUGGCAUAAGCCAGCUUGACUGCGAGCGUGACGGCGCGAGCAGGUGCGAAAGCAGGUCAUAGUGAUCCGGUGGUUCUGAAUGGAAGGGCCAUCGCUCAACGGAUAAAAGGUACUCCGGGGAUAACAGGCUGAUACCGCCCAAGAGUUCAUAUCGACGGCGGUGUUUGGCACCUCGAUGUCGGCUCAUCACAUCCUGGGGCUGAAGUAGGUCCCAAGGGUAUGGCUGUUCGCCAUUUAAAGUGGUACGCGAGCUGGGUUUAGAACGUCGUGAGACAGUUCGGUCCCUAUCUGCCGUGGGCGCUGGAGAACUGAGGGGGGCUGCUCCUAGUACGAGAGGACCGGAGUGGACGCAUCACUGGUGUUCGGGUUGUCAUGCCAAUGGCACUGCCCGGUAGCUAAAUGCGGAAGAGAUAAGUGCUGAAAGCAUCUAAGCACGAAACUUGCCCCGAGAUGAGUUCUCCCUGACCCUUUAAGGGUCCUGAAGGAACGUUGAAGACGACGACGUUGAUAGGCCGGGUGUGUAAGCGCAGCGAUGCGUUGAGCUAACCGGUACUAAUGAACCGUGAGGCUUAACCUU